GUGUGUGUGUGUGUGUGUGUGUGUGUGGUCAGUGUGUUUCUACUGAAGCAGAGUUUCAUGGUUCCGCACUGACAGCAGGACUGAUCAGAACAAAUCCAACAUUUCAUUCAGCAGCACAGCCGUGAUGUUUCACAUGGAGGCUCUCACUCUUUGUGCCUCUCAGCAGGUUUACUGCUGGACAGAGAAGCCAGUGAAGAGGAGGGGAGACGCAGCAAACAACAUGAAGCAGUCACAAAGUGUGUCUGCCUUUAACACGAGAAGAACAUGAGCCGAGGACAAAAAGACACAGAGGAGAAGAAUGCUGUUUUCAUUAUAACACGCCAGCAGCAAGAGAAACAAAGCAAAGCCCACAGUGUUUCUGUCCUCCAGCAGACCUUUGGAUGUCAGUGUGAACGCCUCCAGCUCAUGUUGGUGAAUGUGGGGCUUCACGGACUGUGAGGAGCAGCUAUGACAUCACUCUGAACAGGAAAUAUGGAAACAUGGGAGUGACAUGAGACAACCCCGUUUGUCCACCGAUCAGGAGACUCUCUCAGGUCAUGUGACAUGCUGGAAAUGUAAAGCAGGCUCUACUUUUCAAUCAGUUUUCUCUUUCUCUUGUUUCCAGCCUGUUUCACCUCUGACCACAACCAGCAUCACUGAUAGGUGUGGUUGGGUGUGGUCACAAGUGUUGCUCUGUUGAAUCUAACCACACCCAACAGUGAUGUCAGCGGGUCCUCGAAUCCACCUGGACUUCACUGCAACAUGGUGAGAAGUUCAGCCACUGGAGGUCAGCAAAGACAAGAUUUUCAGAAGGAGUUCAGUUUCUCUUCAAACAUCAGCAUCAAACUGGAGUCCAGUGAGUUGAUCUGUCCUCACAGUCAGCCCCAUGGACAGAGACGGAGCAGCAGCAGAGCACAGAGCUUGGUUCACUGUGGAGACGGAGCUCUGCAGAGAAGACUGCUGCUCUCACUACAUUCAUGAACUAAUAUCAAUAUCUCUGUUGCUGUGGUUCAUUUCCUUCAGUCUUACUUUGAAAAUGUCGUUAUGAUUCAUCCUUUGAGUGUGGAUAAAUAUGUACCAACAUGCAGAAAUACAUUGGUCAGAUAACUUUUCACUGACCAAAGUGUCUGUUCAUUCACAGCAGGCCAGACUCUUGCCAGUUACUAUCAGAUGUAAUAAGUCUGAAAGUGGAAGUUUACUACUCGACUUUCUGUCCAUCAAGUAUCAGGAUACAGCUCAGGUCACAUCUGUAUUGAUCAAACUUCUAAAUGUGACACCACAUUACACAGCACUCUGUCCACUCUGAGCUGUGACCUCCAGAAGUGGAUCAUUUACAGUAAAGUUGCAGAUACUCUGUGGUACUUGUACUCUGAUGCUAAUGACUCUUGGAGCUCUAGUUUCAUCUGCUGUUGUUCUCUGUCCUGAAUAAAGAGCUCCUCUGUCUAUUUCUAGUGACUCCAUCCCAGCGGUUUCCAUCACACCGGACCCCCAGCUGUAUACCUGAGACUUGCAGAGAGCGUGAUUUAUGACUGUUUGGCUCUUAUUAUACUCGAGCUCUCUGCUCCAACACUGCAGCUCUCAGCCGGCGUCCAAACGUGUGAAAUCCUCCCUAAAGACUUUGGUUUGAUAACAGUUUGCCUCUGACAGAGAGCCAAAUGUUUGUAGAGCAGAGCUUCACUUUCUGUUCAGGUCCAGUUUAAAGUGUGUUGGUCUCAUUACUAACAGAAGAAACACUCAAGCAGGCAGAAGAAGUGAGACCAUAUCCACAAAAAUAGAAUUAACGAAGAGUUAAUAGAAAACAGUAAUUAAAAAGAUUAUAUUUCCACUUCACUGCCUCUCCAUUGCUGUAGUUCAUUUAAUGUAAACAGAGAGCCACCAGCUGCAGUGUCUAUUCAUAGACGAGUUAUAGGAAGGAAGAGAGAUGAUCAACAGUUAAAAAGAAUGAUGGGAUGUUGUUGGGACUGCUGCUGUCAAUGUUCAACUGUCUGGAGCAACAACAGAUUAAAAAAAUAAAAAAACAGCCACUGAGGUUGUGAAUCAUCAGUUCAAAGCUGCAGUCAGGAAUAAAAGUAGUUACAUUAAAACAAAUGUGUCAAAAUCACUUUUACUGCACUGUCAACGUGUUCAGUGACGCUGAAGUUAAACACGUUUCUGACACUGACUUUCUGUGUCAGACUGUGUUUGCAUACGACAUGCAUGUGGUCUUUGAUGAAGCCUGUGGAUGAACUGUAUGUGGAUGUUUGGAUCAGCCACAUUUCCUGAACUGGCUGAAGAGAAAAGCAGAGAC